rnacentral:rRNA from 1 species
AAAGAUUUAUCGCCUUUAGAUGAGUCCAAGUCGCAUCAGGUUGUUGGUAGGGUAAUGGCCUACCAAGCCUAUGACGCGUAGCAGGUCUUAGCGGAUGAUCUGCCACAUGGGGACUGAGAUACGGCCCUGACUCCUACGGGAGGCAGCAGUGAGGAAUAUUGGGCAAUGGACGAAAGUCUGACCCAGCGAUGCCGCGUGAAGGAUGAAGGCCUUAGGGUUGUAAACUUCUGUCAGCAGGGAAGAUAAUGACGGUACCUGCAGAGGAAGCCCCGGCUAACUCCGUGCCAGCAGCCGCGGUAAUACGGAGGGGUCUAGCGUUAUUCGGAAUUACUGGGCGUAAAGCGAGCGUAGGCGGAUUUGUAAGUUGGAGGUGAAAUCCCAGAGCUUAACUCUGGAACUGCCUUCAAAACUACAUUUCUUGAGUUUGGUAGAGGAGAGUGGAAUUUCUAGUGUAGAGGUGAAAUUCGUAGAUAUUAGAAAGAAUACCAAUUGCGAAGGCAGCUUUCUGGAUCAUUACUGACACUGAGGAACGAAAGCAUGGGUAGCGAAGAGGAUUAGAUACCCUCGUAGUCCAUGCCGUAAACGAUGUGUGUUAGACGUUGGAAAUUUAUUUUCAGUGUCGCAGCGAAAGCAUUAAACACACCGCCUGGGGAGUACGACCGCAAGGUUAAAACUCAAAUGAAUUGACGGGGACCCGCACAAGUAGUGGAGCAUGUGGUUUAAUUCGAAGAUACGCGCAGAACCUUACCAACACUUGACAUGUUCGUCGCGACUUUAAGAGAUUAAAGUUUUCGGUUCGGCCGGACGAAACACAGGUGCUGCAUGGCUGUCGUCAGCUCGUGUCGUGAGAUGUUGGGUUAAGUCCCGCAACGAGCGCAACCCUCACUUUUAGUUGCCAUCAUUAAGUUGGGCACUCUGAAAGAACUGCCAGUGAUAAGCUGGAGGAAGGUGGGGAUGACGUCAAGUCCUCAUGGCCCUUACGUGUUGGGCUACACACGUGCUACAAUGGCAUUUACAAUAGGAAGCAAGAUGGCGACAUCAAGCAAAUCCUAAAAAGAUGCCUCAGUUCGGAUUGCACUCUGCAACUCGAGUGCAUGAAGCUGGAAUUACUAGUAAUCGCGGAUCAGCGUGCCACGGUGAAUGCGUUCCCGGGUCUUGUACACACCGCCCGUCACACCAUGGGAGUUGGUUCUACCUUAAGGCAAGGUUUCAAACCCUUGACCACGGU